rnacentral:rRNA from 1 species
UAAGUAAUGUGAAUUGCAGAAUUCAGUGAAUCAUCGAAUCUUUGAACGCACAUUGCGCCCUCUGGUAUUCCGGAGGGCAUGCCUGUUCGAGCGUCAU